GGAUUAGAUACCCUGGUAGUCCACGCCGUAAACGAUGGUCACUAGCUGUUCGGACUUCGGUCUGAGUGGCUAAGCGAAAGUGAUAAGUGACCCACCUGGGGAGUACGUUCGCAAGAAUGAAACUCAAAGGAAUUGACGGGGGCCCGCACAAGCGGUGGAGCAUGUGGUUUAAUUCGAUGAUACGCGAGGAACCUUACCAGGGCUUAAAUGUAAGUUGCAUGAUUUAGAGAUAGAUCUUUCUUCGGACUACUUACAAGGUGCUGCAUGGUUGUCGUCAGCUCGUGCCG
rnacentral:rRNA from 1 species